rnacentral:rRNA from 1 species
GACGAACGCUGGCGGCGUGCUUAACACAUGCAAGUCGAACGAUGAACCCGGAGCUUGCUCCGGUGGAUUAGUGGCGAACGGGUGAGUAACACGUGAGUAACCUGCCCUUGACUCUGGGAUAACUGCGGGAAACUGUAGCUAAUACCGGAUACGACCCUCGGCGGCAUCGCCAGGGGGUGGAAAGAAUUUCGGUCAAGGAUGGACUGGCGGCCUAUCAGCUAGUUGGGGAGGUAACGGCUCAACAAGGCGACGACGGGUAGCCGGCCUGAGAGGGUGACCGGCGACACUGGGACUGAGACACGGCCCAGACUGCUACGGGAGGCAGAAGUGGGGAAUAUUGCACAAUGGGCGCAAGCCUGAUGCAGCAAGGCCGCGUGAGGGAUGACGGCCUUCGGGUUGUAAACCUCUUUUAGUAGGGAAGAAGCGAAAGUGACGGUACCUGCAGAAAAAGCACCGGCUAACUACGUGCCAGCCGCCGCGGUAA